UGGCUGGCUUUAGCUCAGGGGUUCCUUUGAGUCAAGCCUUCACUUGCCAACCACUCUUGCCGGUGAGGGUGGUUGAAGACCCGUGGGCCUCCUCCAAUCCUUUA
ensembl:misc_RNA Vault Vault RNA